CCUACGGGUGGCAGCAGUGAGGAAUAUUGGUCAAUGGCCGGAAGUCUGAACCAGCCAUGCCGCGUGCGGGAAGAAUGCCCUAAGGAUUGUAAACUGCUUUUGUCCGGGAGUAAAAAUGCUCUCCUGUGUUGUAUUGAGAGUACCCGAAGAAUAAGGAUCGGCUAACUCCGUGCCAGCAGCCGCGGUAAUACGGAGGAUGCGAGCGUUAUCCGGAUUUAUUGGGUUUAAAGGGUGCGUAGGCGGCUUGUUAAGGUAGCGGUGAAAUGUGCGGGCUUAACCCCGGACGUGCCUUUAGAACUGGCGAGCUAGAGUUCAGGCGCGGUAGGCGGAAUGCGUGGUGUAGCGGUGAAAUGCAUAGAGAUCACAAAGAACACCGAUUGCGAAGGCAGCUUACCAGUCUACAACUGACGCUGAGGCACGAAAGUGUGGGGAUCGAACAGGAUUAGAUACCCGUGUAGUC
rnacentral:rRNA from 1 species